rnacentral:lncRNA from 1 species
GGUCUCCGCCCUAGCCAAUCGGCACCUUCCACUCUCCCGGUGGGACCAAUCAGCGGCUGCCGGGAACCCGGGCUGUCGCCAUGGCAGCAAGGAGGCGGGAGCGCGCCGUGGGUAGAAGUACAGAGCAGAGCCGGCGGCUGGGGGCUUUAGAGGCCAGCCUGUUCCCUGCAAGCGUUCAGCAGGCGGAGCCUUGCGCUUGGAGACCCGGCUUCGCAAAACUGGCGGCCUCGAGGCUGAUGCUCACCACAUCCCGCGACACCGAGCUAAGCUAGGCCGGUGAAUCCUGCUCUUCUACCGGUUCUGUUAAGCCGGCAGCCGCUGACAGCAGGAGAGGAGAAAGUUCGUGCCAGUUGCGGUAUUGUGUUCUCUAAGUGACAAAUCUUUAGAUGUGAGAUGGUGGUAUGGAGUUUGAGAAAGACGGUACUGUCUUGUUGCACCUGCUAAAUGGUAACUGAGUGACUAAAUAUGCUUAUUGUUGUGGUUGGUUCUGGGCAGUGGUUUUGGAUGACAAUUAUUUUUAUAAAGUCAAGCAAGAGAGGAAAUAUGAACUUGAACCAUUGAACCAUUCUCGUUUCUUGGAGACAGAAACCUCUUGAAAGUCUCAGAGUGUCUACUAAACUGCUAAACUGGAUACUGUCCAUUUACACAAUUGAAUAAGAAUGGUGCCAUCUAAGCCUUUUAGUAAAGCUAUUAAAUCCGUGGGUGAAUAUGAACACCAAACUAUGUAUUACUUUGGUUAGAAAAGGGAGAAGGAGGGAGAAGAGAGGUUAAAUGCAAUUAUAUCUGAUUGUCAAUUUUGUUUGAAGGAAAUUGUGGACUUUCCUUAUAAGAACUGAAUUGAUGAGAUGGUUGCUUUAAGGAAUGGAUGAAAAAUAAUAUGAUUAGUGGUAUAAUAGAUUUGGAUCGGGUAGCUUAUAGUGUUUUUUUUUUUUUUUUUUUUUUUGCAGCCUGCUUAAAUUCCUUGUUUCUUAAGAUCCUCCCUCAUAAAUUUGAUUGAAUUGUGUGAGACAGUCUCCAG